AUGUUGGUGGUAGGAAUUCGAAAGAUGACCGACCUUCGGGAGCCUUCACAGGUGCUGCAUGGCUGUCGUCAGCUCGUGUCGUGAGAUGUUCGGUUAAGUCCGCUAACGAGCGCAACCCUCGCUGUGUGUUACAAGUGUCACACGGGACUGCCGGUAUCAAGCCGGAGGAAGGUGGGAUGACGUCAAGUCAGCAUGGCCUUUAUGUCCUGGGCUACACACACGCUACAAUGGUCGACACAAUAGGUAGCCAAGCCGCGAGGUGGAGCCAAUCCUUAAAGUCGGCCUCAGUUCAGAUUGUAGGCUGCAACCCGCCUGCAUGAAGAUGGAGUUGCUAGUAACCGCAGGUCAGCAAUACUGCGGUGAAUACGUUCCCGGGUCUU
rnacentral:rRNA from 1 species